rnacentral:lncRNA from 1 species
GAGGAGUGGGAGUGAGAGUGAAGGCGAAGGGGGUGACGGCGGAGAAGGAAGCAGCAACCGACCCCGUGCUGCGAAUGGCCGCCACCUGGCCUUCCAAUGCUUGAAAGCCAAAAAGGGACUCUUCUUUGACCUAUUGGUAAUUCUCCCUCUGCCACAGGUAAUUUGUUUUUUCAAUCAUUUCCACGUCAUUAUCCUAAUUUACAUUGAUUAUAAUACGCUUUUUUUUAAUUUUUGGACUUACAUAUAUUUAAUUCAAUGAUAGUGUUAUUAGUGAACCAGAUUUGAAGAAAAAUAAAGUGAGUUUUUUAAAAAAAAAAUUAAAUAAUGUGUGAAAUUAUGGAAAGUUGAUAUUGUUAUUAUCUACAUAUAAGUGUUUUAGAAGAGAUGAGAUGAGAAUGUUAUCAUUAGUCAUUUUGUUGCAUGCAAAGGAUACCCUUUCGACAGUGUAACAAACAUGUGAUGAAACCAUGUCGUUUUUAGCAUUUUCAGGAAAAGGGGUAUAAUGGGAAGAUUCAAAAGUUGAAAGGAUUUUAUCAUCUUUUGUUGUUAUAUUUUGUCAGUUUUUAUUUAUGGUUUUGGAUCGUAAUUCACUGGACAUUAUUGUAAUUAGUAAGGCUAGAAAUUAAACACUCAAAAGGAAUAUAGCCCUUUAUAGAAUCCAAUUUCCAUCAUAAACACCAAACACCUUAAUUAUGAUUAUGAUAUAAUAAAUUAUACAAAUAUGAUUUAAACAAAUAAAAACAUGAUCAUUGAGUCUAUAUAUAUUAAAAAAUUAUAUUUAAUACAUGGAAUAUUGUUGAUGGGCUAACCUGAAUCUUUUGAUUUGGAACCAAGAUUGUACUAUGGGUGGCAAUUCCAUCAUUAUUGGAAAAAGGAUCGGUAACGCUAGUAAUGACGGUGUUCUUGAUCAUCUUCCUC